rnacentral:sRNA from 1 species
GCCAGGGGUGGUGACGCACACCUGUAAUCCCAGCGGCUCAGGAGGCUGAGGCAAGAGGAUCGAGAGUUCAAAGCCAGCCUCAGCAACAGCAAGGCACUAAGCAACUCAGUGAGACCCUGUCUCUA